CCUACGGGACGCAGCAGUGGGGAAUAUUGCACAAUGGCGCUAGCCUGAUGCAGCCAUGCCGCGUGUAUGAAGAAGGCCUUCGGGUUGUAAAGUACUUUCAGCGGGGAGGAAGGCGAUAAGGUUAAUAACCUUGUCGAUUGACGUUACCCGCAGAAGAAGCACCGGCUAACUCCGUGCCAGCAGCCGCGGUAAUACGGAGGGUGCAAGCGUUAAUCGGAAUUACUGGGCGUAAAGCGCACGCAGGCGGUCUGUCAAGUCGGAUGUGAAAUCCCCGGGCUCAACCUGGGAACUGCAUUAGAAACUGGCAGGCUGGAGUCUUGUAGAGGGGGGUAGAAUUCCAGGUGUAGCGGCGAAAUGCGUAGAGAUCUGGAGGAAUACCGGUGGCGAAGGCGGCCCCCUGGACAAAGACUGACGCUCAGGUGCGAAAGCGUGGGGAGCAAACAGGAUUAGAUACCCUUGUAGUC
rnacentral:rRNA from 1 species